CCCUAUUGAGUUUCAUCAAAAUCGGUGGAUUCCACUUGGGGACCUCUCCUUGUAAGAUGUAAUAUGUUAAGUAAUAAUGAAAAAUUAAAUAAAUAAUAAAGAGUACAAUAAAAUAAUAAUAUGAUAAGUUAACUUUAACUUUUUCACAAGAUGUUGGCUUCAAAGUUUCAUUAGGUUUUUUUGCCUUUUCUUACUUUUCUGAAUCCAAUGAUGUGCCAUUUUAUAUUCUCUGCUUCAUUCUGCAGUUCCUGUAGGCAGUCUUUUGUCGUAAGGGAUCGUCCACUGUACGUAGCCAAAGACAGUAAAUUGAAAGCUAUUUGUCAUUAUCCAGAUAUUAUUAGCACCCUCUGCAUAUUUCAUACUCCACUUGCUGCUGUGACUGAGGGUCAUAUUUUUAUGUGUACAUCAUGGAAACGAUCUGAAAAGUUUUUAAACCAUUAUCUCCUCACACUGGUCUAAUGUGGGUUGAAAAGAGAGAGCCUUAACAUACAUUAGACUGAAUUUACACUGAAUUUAAUCUAGUCACAUUAUUUAUUAUCAUUAUUUUUUAAACUAAUCUCACUAUUUAUUAUUAGGUUUUUAUAUCCAUUAGACCUUAUUAUUAAUUUUAAUCUAUACAC
rnacentral:lncRNA from 1 species